rnacentral:rRNA from 1 species
CAGUAGCCGCGGGAAAACGAAGGGGGCUAGCGUUGCUCGGAAUCAUUGGGCGUAAAGGGUGCGUAGGCGGGUCUUUAAGUCAGGGGUGAAAUCCUGGAGCUCAACUCCAGAACUGCCUUUGAUACUGAAGAUCUUGAGUUCGGGAGAGGUGAGUGGAACUGCGAGUGUAGAGGUGAAAUUCGUAGAUAUCCGCAAGAACACCAGUGGCGAAGGCGGCUCACUGGCCCGAUACUGACGCUGAGGCACGAAAGCGUGGGGAGCAAACAGGAUUAGAGACCCCCGUAGUCCCUGUCUCUUAUAU